AUAAAAAAAUUUAUUUAUUUAAAAGAUUUUCUUAUUUAAUUAAAAUAAAAAAAUUAAUUUUUAGUAAAUUUUAUGAAAAAAUAUUUUUAAUUAUAGUUAAUUAGUAUUGUGAAAGAAUGUUAUAAUAUUUAAUAAAGAAUAAUUUAUUUUUAGUACCUUGUGUAUCAGGGUUGAUUAAAUAAUAUUUUUAUAUAAAAAUUUCUCGAAUUUAAAAGAGCUAACUUAUUAUAAAUUUUAUUGUAAAAUAAAUAUUUAAAAUAUUAAGUUAGAAAUGAAACGUUAUACGUUUUUAAAUAUAUCUAGUUUUUUUAGAAAAAAAUUUAAUUUUAUUUAAUUUAAAUUAAUAAGUUAAUUUUUUAGUUUAUUAAUUGAUUAAUUAAAUAUUUAAAGGGAUGAGCUUUUAAAUAAAUUUUUAAAAAUUUAUAUUUUUAAAAUAAAAUAUAGGAUUAGAAUUUUCUAUUUUUAAAAUAAUGUUAUAAUUAAUUAUUUAAUUUUUAUUAUUUAUAUAAAUUUUAAGUUUUUUAUAAAAAAGUUUUUUUUAAUUUAAAUUAUUAAGUUAUUAUGAUGAAAUUAGUAUAAUAUUUUGUAUUUAGUAUUAAUAGUUAAAUGUUAAUAUAAGGAAUUCGGCAAAUAAAUUUUUCACCUGUUUAUUAAAAACAUGUCCUUUUGACUAUAAUUUAAGGUCUAGCCUGCCCAAUGAACAAUGUUUAAAUGGCCGCAGUAUUUUGACUGUGCAAAGGUAGCAUAAUCAUUAGUUUUUUAAUUGAAAGCUGGAAUGAAUGGUUGGAUGAAAAAAUUUCUGUCUCAUAUUAAAUUUUUUAUAAUUUUAUUUUUAAGUUAAAAAGCUUAAAUUUAAUUAAAAGACGAGAAGACCCUAUAGAGUUUUAUAUAAAUGAAAAAAUUUAUUUUAAGAAUUAAUAAAUUAAUUUUAUUAUUUAUAUUUGAUUGGGGUGAUUAAAAAAUUAAAUAAACUUUUUUUAUUAAAAAAUCAUUUAUUUAUGAAUAUAUGAUCCAAAUGUUUUGAUUAAAAGAUUAAAUUACCUUAGGGAUAACAGCGUAAUUUUUUUUGAGAGUUCAAAUCGAAAAAAAAGAUUGCGACCUCGAUGUUGGAUUAAAAUUAAGUUUUGGUGUAGAAGCUAAAAGCUUAGGUCUGUUCGACCUUUAAAAUUUUACAUGAUCUGAGUUUAAACCGGUGUGAGCCAGGUUGGUUUCUAUCUUUAAUAAAAAAUAAUAUUUUAGUACGAAAGGACCAAAUAUU
rnacentral:rRNA from 1 species